rnacentral:rRNA from 1 species
AUUGAACGCUGGCGGCAUGCCUUACACAUGCAAGUCGAACGGUAACAGGUUAAGCUGACGAGUGGCGAACGGGUGAGUAAUGUAUCGGAACGUGCCCAGUCGUGGGGGAUAACUGCUCGAAAGAGCAGCUAAUACCGCAUACGACCUGAGGGUGAAAGCGGGGGAUCGCAAGACCUCGCGCGAUUGGAGCGGCCGAUAUCAGAUUAGGUAGUUGGUGGGGUAAAGGCCUACCAAGCCGACGAUCUGUAGCUGGUCUGAGAGGACGACCAGCCACACUGGGACUGAGACACGGCCCAGACUCCUACGGGAGGCAGCAGUGGGGAAUUUUGGACAAUGGACGCAAGUCUGAUCCAGCCAUGCCGCGUGCGGGAAGAAGGCCUUCGGGUUGUAAACCGCUUUUGUCAGGGAAGAAGCGAUCUGGGUUAAUACCUCGGGGUAAUGACGGUACCUGAAGAAUAAGCACCGGCUAACUACGUGCCAGCCGCCGCCGUAA